UUAUUCUUGAUAUGUUCUUCAUCAUUUGUUUUUAAAUUUUGAUUCCAUUUGGACCAAUCACUUUAAAACAUUUUGAUGAAAGUGAACUAUAGCAUCAUCCGUAACUUCAAUUAUAACAUGUACCACCACCAGGUUUAUACAUAGGAUGUUGUAGCCUCUAAAAGGGGGCGGGGGAGUAGCUUAUGUAAUUUAUAAGACAAUUGUUUAAUUUGUACUCAUGAUAAAUCAACAAUAGUGACUAGCAGAUUGUCUUAUAUGUUGUUUUUUUUUAUUAAAGCUGCAUACUUCUUGAACAGCUUAAGGUCACUUCUGUGGCUUGUCUGCUUACUCUGUUCUGGAUGAAUUUCAUUAGUGGGAUCAUGUCACUCCUGGGGCCUUAGCACUCUUAUAAUAGCUUCCAUGUUUCAGUAGUCAUACAGAGCAUUUAGGAAUUGUUGAGUAAGUUGGAAACAUACUUAUUAGCAACGCAACACCAUCAUGCAAUAGUUGUACACUCAACACCAUCAUGCAAUAGUUGUACACUCAAUGCCAUCAUGCAAUAGUUGUA